CGACGCAACGCGAAGAACCUUACCUGGGCUUGACAUGCACGGGAAACCCUCCAGAAACGGGGGGCCCUCUUCGGAGUCCGUGCACAGGUGCUGCAUGGCUGUCGUCAGCUCAUGUCGUGAGAUGUUGGGUUAAGUCCCGCAACGAGCGCAACCCCCGUCCCUAGUUACCAGCGGGUCAUGCCGGGCACUCUAGGGAGACUGCCGGUGCCAAACCGGAGGAAGGUGGGGACGACGUCAAGUCAUCAUGGUCCUUACGUCCAGGGCUACACACGUGCUACAAUGGGCGGGACAGAGGGUCGCGAGGGGGAAACCCGGAGCCAAUCCCGACAAACCCGCCCUCAGUUCGGAUUGUCCUCUGCAACCCGAGGGCAUGAAGCUGGAAUCGCUAGUAAUCGCGGAUCAGCUACGCCGCGGUGAAUACGUUCCCGGGCCUUGUACACACCGCCCGUC
rnacentral:rRNA from 1 species